GAUGAACGCUGGCGGCGUGCCUAAUACAUGCAAGUCGAGCGAACAGAUGAGGAGCUUGCUCCUCUGACGUUAGCGGCGGACGGGUGAGUAACACGUGGAUAACCUACCUAUAAGACUGGGAUAACUUCGGGAAACCGGAGCUAAUACCGGAUAAUAUAUUGAACCGCAUGGUUCAAUAGUGAAAGACGGUUUUGCUGUCACUUAUAGAUGGAUCCGCGCCGCAUUAGCUAGUUGGUAAGGUAAGGGCUUCCAAAGGCAACGAUGCGUAGCCGACCUGAGAGGGUGAUCGGCCACACUGGAACUGAGACACGGUCCAGACUCCUACGGGAGGCAGCAGUAGGGAAUCUUCCGCAAUGGGCGAAAGCUUGACGGAGCAACGCCGCGUGAGUGAUGAAGGUCUUCGGAUCGUAAAACUCUGUUAUUAGGGAAGAGCAAAUGUGUAAGUAACUAUGCACGUCUUGACGGUACCUAAUCAGAAAGCCACGGCUAACUACGUG
rnacentral:rRNA from 1 species